GAUGAACGCUGGCGGCGUGCCUAAUACAUGCAAGUCGAGCGAACGGACGAGAAGCUUGCUUCUCUGAUGUUAGCGGCGGACGUGUGAGUAACACGUGGAUAACCUACCUAUCAGACUGGGAUAACUUCGGGAAACCGGAGCUAAUCCCGUAUAAUAUUUUGAACCGCAUGGUUCAAAAGUGAAAGACGGUCUUGCUGUCACUUAUAGAUGGAUCCGCGCUGCAUUAGCUAGUUGGUAAGGUAACGGCUUACCAAGGCAACGAUGCAUAGCCGACCUGAGAGGGUGAGCGGCCACACUGGAACUGAGACACGGUCCAGACUCCUACGGGAGGCAGCAGUAGGGAAUCUUCCGCAAUGGGCGAAAGCCUGACGGAGCAACGCCGCGUGAGUGAUGAAGGUCUUCGGAUCGUAAAACUCUGUUAUUAGGGAAGAACAUAUGUGUAAGUAACUGUGCACAUCUUGACGGUACCUAAUCAGAAAGCCACGGCUAACUACGUG
rnacentral:rRNA from 1 species